rnacentral:rRNA from 1 species
GACGAACGCUGGCGGCGCGCUUAACACAUGCAAGUCGAACGGAAAGGCCUGCUUUCCCUUGUGGAUUGCGGGUACUCGAGUGGCGAACGGGCGAGUAACACGUGAGUGAUCUGCCCCCAACUUGGGUAUAAGCCUGGGAAACUGGGUCUAAUUCCCGAUAGGACUGCAGGGUGGUGCCUGUGGUGGAAAACGAUUUUCUAGUGGUUGGGGAUGAGCUCGCGGCCUAUCAGCUUGUUGGUGGGGUAAUGGCCUACCAAGGCGGCGACGGGUAGCCGGCCUGGGAGAGUGGACGGGCACAGUGGGACUGCGAUACGGCGCAGACUCCUACGGGAGGCAGCCGUGGGGAAGAAUGCGCAGUGAGCGGAAGCCUGAUGCAGCGACGCCGCGGGGGGGAUGACGGCCUUCGGGUGGUAAACUCCUUGCGACCGCGAGGAAGCCACCUGGUUGGAAGGGUGGUGACGGUAGUGGUAGAAGAAGCACCGGCUAACUACGUG